GAAGCCGCGGCAGGACGGCGGGGGGGGCGGGAAGCGGGCAAGGUGUGAACGUCCCGGGCGGCCGCUGCCGGCGGCGCCGAGGCUCGGCCGCGACUGCCAGGGGGUUUGCCCGCUUAGCCCCCGGCUCGCCCGCGUCCCGCUCGGCCCCGCGUCCGCGCCGCCCGCGCCGCGCAUGCCCCCCGCUACGCAAAGCACGCAGGCUGCGCCGCUGGCGGCCGCGGAGCGCAGCGCAGCGCGGCGUGAGGGCCCGGCCUAGGUCGCGGCGGCUCCGCGUGACUCAGUGAAAAUGAAGAAUUUGUAUCUUUUUAUUGCUGCCCUCCUCAUCCCAUGGAGUUUUACUGUGGCAAAGUAUGAUGAGUUUGAGGAUGGAGAUGACAUUAUGGAAUAUGAUGAUAAUGACUUUGCUGAAUUUGAAGAUGUUAACGAAGAUGCAGUCACAGAGUCUCCUCAAAGGGUCAUCACUGCAGAAGACGAUGAAGAAGAAGCAACUGUAGAGCUUGAAGGUCAGGAUGAGAAUCAGGAAGACUUUGAUGACACAGAUGCACAGGAUGGUGAUACUGAGAGUGAACCAUAUGAUGAUGAGGAGUUUGAAGGCUAUGAAGAGAAACCAGAUGCAUCCCAUAGCAAAAAUAAAGACCCCAUAACAAUAGUUAAUGUCCCUGCUCACCUCCAAAACAGCUGGGAGAGUUACUACAUGGAGAUCCUGAUGGUAACAGGUCUCCUUGCUUACAUCAUGAAUUACAUCAUUGGGAAGAACAAAAACAACCGUCUGGCUCACGCGUGGUUCAAUACACACAGGGAGCUGCUAGAAAGUAACUUUGCUCUUGUUGGGGAUGAUGGCACUAAUAAAGAAGCCACCAGCACUGGAAAACUAAAUCAAGAAAAUGAACACAUAUAUAACUUGUGGUGCUCUGGAAGGGUGUGUUGUGAGGGAAUGCUCAUCCAGCUAAAGUUUCUCAAGAGACAAGACCUACUGAAUGUUCUUGCACGCAUGAUGAGGCCAGCUUCUGACCAAGUGCAAAUAAAAGUAACAAUGAACGAUGAAGAUAUGGACACCUACGUGUUUGCUGUUGGAACAAGAAAAGCACUGGUGCGACUUCAGAAAGAGAUGCAGGACCUGAGUGAGUUCUGCAGUGAUAAACCUAAGUCUGGUGCAAAAUAUGGGCUUCCAGAUUCGCUGGCUAUCUUGUCAGAGAUGGGAGAGGUCACAGAGGGAAUGAUGGACGCUAAGAUGAUCCAUUUCCUCACGCACUACGCUGACAAGAUUGAGUCCGUCCAAUUCUCGGACCAGUUCUCCGGUCCAAAACUUAUGCAAGAGGAAGGUCAGCUUACAAAACUGCCUGAGACUAAAAAGACACUUUUGUUUACAUUUAAUGUGCCUGGUUCAGGCAACACUUCCCCAAAGGACAUGGAGUCUUUGCUGCCUCUGAUGAGCAUGGUUAUCUACUGUAUUGACAAAGCAAAGAAGUUCCGUCUGAACAGAGAAGGUAAACAAAAGGCUGACAAGAACAGAGCUCGAGUGGAAGAGAACUUCCUUAAACUGACCCAUGUGCAAAGACAGGAGGCUGCCCAGUCCCGCCGAGAGGAGAAGAAACGGGCAGAGAAGGAGAGAAUCAUGAAUGAAGAGGAUCCUGAAAAGCAGCGUCGGCUGGAGGAAGCUGCUUUGCGACGUGAGCAGAAGAAACUCGAGAAGAAGCAGAUGAAGAUGAAGCAAAUCAAAGUGAAAGCGAUGUGACUCCGUGGUGAGAAGUGUCUCAGUGCCACCUGCGCAACUUUUGAUUUGCAGGCUGCUGCCCGGUUCACUUCAGCCCAGAAACUAAACUCAGUGAAGUAUCUGCAACUGCAAAUUUCCCCAAGCAAGUAAAAAACAAUAGAAUGCUUCAGGGGAUGUGGGAUCCUCUUCAUUUGGUAAAUGAUUGCUUCAGGUUUUGGAAUAUAAAGGGGAGAAUGAAGUGAAUUGCCCCUGUGCAAGCACUUGGCUAACUGAGAGCGCUGCAUUUUAUAAAUGCUUCCUGUCUAGAAGGAAUUUUAUUGUUGCUUGUAACAGACUUUUAACAGUUUUGUGGGGAGGGUGGGGAAAAGAAGAACUGUCUUGCAUUUUCUUGUUCACUACUUUUGUGCAAACUUGGUUUUGAGGCAAUAAGAAAGGAGCUGCUGUUGAAACAGCAAUUGCUUCAGCUUCUUGUUCCAGCUGUGGGAUACUUCACACUGAUUGAAAGGCAAAUGUCUGUAAGCUGGUACAUGCAAAUACAUUAAUUUUAUAGAAUGGUUGGUAAACUUUUAUUUAAAACCAAAACUAAUGUAAUGAUGUGAAAUUUUAGCACUAUUUAGCUUUAAAGAUUUAAUAUGGUAUUGUUUCACUAAGUUCUUUGAAAGGAGAUUCUAGUUUGUGCUCUUUUGAGUUCAGUGGACAAGCUUUCCUGAAGUCCCAUAUGGUUGUGGGCCAUGGCAGCUAAUUUUGUAAUGUAAACAAUCUACUGAAGAGUAAAAAUAUAAUUGAAACACUC